rnacentral:rRNA from 1 species
UACGUAGGGUGCAAGCGUUGUCCGGAAUUAUUGGGCGUAAAGAGCUCGUAGGCGGUCUGUCGCGUCGGAUGUGAAAAUCCAGGGCUCAACCCUGGACCUGCAUUCGAUACGGGCAGACUAGAGUUCGGCAGGGGAGACUGGAAUUCCUGGUGUAGCGGUGGAAUGCGCAGAUAUCAGGAGGAACACCGGUGGCGAAGGCGGGUCUCUGGGCCGAAACUGACGCUGAGGAGCGAAAGCGUGGGGAGCAAACAGG